rnacentral:snoRNA from 1 species
AGUGCAAAUGAUGUUAAACUAGACAGGGACAUCAGACUUCUUUGAAAAAUGAUGACUUUGUCUUUGGGAAUCUCUUUGAUGCAUU